CAUUUUAUUAUUCAAGGGAGGUUUUGUUUUUUAUAUAUUAAAACUCCAAUGAGAUCCUCUUCAAUAGGAGCAUGGCUUUCCUCCAGAUGGAUGCAGCACCCGGAGCCACCGUGGAAGCAGAGAGCAGCCCUCACCAGACAACCAAACCCGCCAGCACCUUCAUCUUCACCUUCUGGCCUCCAGAACUUGAACACGACGUGACACCUGCUUAGAAAAGAGGGUGCUGGACGGACACUGCAGGAGGCAAAGGGCUCUCCUGAAGACGGCUGCUGCAAUAAUGAGGGGUCUAUUGGAACUCUACUCCAGCCAUGCACCAAGAACAGGUGGCUCCUUGGCAAACUUACAGUUUUGGUCUGGCCUAGUGAUAACCUUCCUGUGGCCCUCUCCACACAGAAACCAGCAUUCCAAAGAUCCAGCCCACACCAAGCCUGUGCUCCCUCUGCACAGCUACACCAGUAGUUCCUGAUUCCCUGUGCCCCGUGUCACUCCAGAGGGCUGCUUCCCACUUGCCAAGCAACUGCAGACCAGUACAGCCUAG